GCCAGACUCCUACGGGAGGCAGCAGUGGGGAAUAUUGCACAAUGGGGGAAACCCUGAUGCAGCGACGCCGCGUGGGUGAAGAAGCGCCUCGGCGCGUAAAGCCCUGUCAGCAGGGAAGAGAAUGACGGUACCUGACUAAGAAGCCCCGGCUAACUACGUGCCAGCAGCCGCGGUAAUACGUAGGGGGCGAGCGUUAUCCGGAUUUACUGGGUGUAAAGGGAGCGUAGACGGUUCUGCAAGUCUGAAGUGAAAGCCCGUGGCUUAACCGCGGAACGGCUUUGGAAACUGUGGAACUGGAGUGCUGGAGAGGCAAGCGGAAUUCCUAGUGUAGCGGUGAAAUGCGUAGAUAUUAGGAGGAACACCAGUGGCGAAGGCGGCUUGCUGGACAGUAACUGACGUUGAGGCUCGAAAGCGUGGGGAGCAAACAGGAUUAGAUACCCGAGUA
rnacentral:rRNA from 1 species